CUAAAACGUGACCUUGAUUAUGAAAAUGAUUUUGCCAAAGAAACUCUAAUGCAGUCUUCACAUCAUCUAAUGCUAGGAUAAGCUAUAUCAAUCCAAGAUAUUCAACUGAUUCCAGCUACAUUAUGCAUCAUACUGCAAUUUUGGAGCUAUACACAUUUAUAUAUUUUUCUAUUCAUAAUCUAAUAUUAGUGAAACAGCCAUGAUCACAAGCCAGAGGAGAUCAACCAAAUAGAAAGUUAGGACAAUGUCCUGCCCAUUUUUAUCAUUGUUACAAUUGAUCAAACAGGUUUACUUAAUUAACACAACAUUCUCCAUUCAAUAUAUAUGUGUUUAUGUCAAGAAAAGGUCACUAGAUAAUGAACAAAUAAAAUAAGGUUUAGUAUGAGUCGGCAAUAUGAUGAGAACUGAAACUUACAUACAGUGAGGAAGAUGCGCAUCUGUGCUUGAAACUCUCAUGGCGCCUAUCUUUUUUUUUUUUUUAAUUCCAUCAUUCUUUUUCUCUGUAGCCGAAGGGUGCAUUUCCAGUUGCUUACAAUCAAAAAUAUGUACCUCCUUUCUUCUUGCGAUUUGUCCAUCUGUUUUUUUCCCAAACCAGUGCUUAAGUACGUGUCAUUUUCAUUAAGAAGAUGAAGAUGAAAAGUAUGUCAUCCAACAGCCAAGAGAAACUAAAAGAAACUGAAAGAGAACAGAAGAGAAACACAAAAACAAGAGAUUGUACAGUAUCCUACAAUCUGCCUUUCUCAUAGUCCUUUCAACUUGCCACGUGCAGCUCCUCCAUUCUGCUAUUACUUUUGUGCUGCUUAGUACCUUGUGGUGCCUCCACUUCUCCUAUCUUAAGCAGUGUUGCAUUCUCCUUUUCAAUUGUGCUCAGCUGGUUCCACACAACAUUCAUUUCUGCAAAUAAUGCAGAAACUUCCAUAUCCUUUCCUGAAUAUUGUAUGGGAAAUAAUAGACCACCAUAGCCUGUGUUCACUUGUACAUCUAAAUAUAGCAACUGUGUGAACUACCUACCAGCUUAUGCAUUCUGAAUUCAUAGGUUUCUACUGGAACACUACUACAUGCCAACUAAACCAUUCUAAAGUUGUCUGAAUCUACUGAAUGAACAUGAUGAUAAUUUUGAUUUUGAUAAAACCAAUGAUUGGACAUUUGAGCCCCUACCUGAAGAACACAAGGUAAGUCACAAGAUAUGUCCAAUGGGUCUUGGAAACUACUAGACCUAUUUAUAUAUACUAAUUGGGUUCAUAAAAUGGAUUGACAGUUAUAUACUAACCAAAAAAGGAGGAGCACACAUGGUAUCAAACAAUAGCUUCGGAUAAUCGCCAAUUCCAGGAAUCAAACACAAGUGAAACCCAUAAUAUGGACAUAACCGGAGUUGAGCAGUACAUCAUUCAUUAAGUAGAAUCAACAUGCCUCGAUCAGACAUAGU
rnacentral:lncRNA from 1 species